rnacentral:rRNA from 1 species
AUUGAACGCUGGCGGCAGGCCUAACACAUGCAAGUCGAACGAGUGGCGGACGGGUGAGUAAUGUCUGGGAAACUGCCCGAUGGAGGGGGAUAACUACUGGAAACGGUAGCUAAUACCGCAUACCCUCGGAUGUGCCCAGAGGGGAUUUGCUUGGAGGUGCGGUAACGGCUCACCUAGGCGACGAUCCCUAGCGGGUCUGAGCGGAUGACCAGCCAGACGGGAACUGAGACACGGUCCAGACUCCGACGGGAGGCAGCAGUGGGGAAUAUUGCACAAUGGGCGCAAGCCUGAUGCAGCCAUGCCGCGUGUAUGAAGAAGGCCUGUGGGUUGUAAAGUACGGUCAGUGGGGAGGCGGUACCCGCAGAAGAAGCACAGGCUAACGCCGUGCCAGCAGCCGCGGGAAUAC